ensembl:lncRNA
CUGGCAAGGGUUGCAAUGAAGGAAGAAAGGGAUAUAUAUAUCUCUAUCUAUUUUAAACCUCAGAACCUUUCUCUCUCUAUCUCUUUUUUAAAAUCGUUUAACUCGAGGAAGAAUAAAAAUUUUUGUUGAGUCGUGAUUUGAGGAAGCCAUGAGCUCGGGGGAAGGAGAGGACGUGUGUAAGGACGGAGCCGAUGUAGCGGCGCACUUCAGAGCCGACUGCUCUCUUCCGAAGUGUGAACCCAAGCUUGAUUUAGCGGGACACACAGGUGAGAAGACUUACACCCUUGCGUGGUGUUUUUGUUUUGAUCUGCUUUGGAAGUGCAAAUCUGCAUGGUCUUAGAGGUCCUUUGUAAUACUCAGGACUUGAUCCCGUUUAUGUGGCUCAAACUAAACUGUGCAAGCGUUCACCUCAUUCUGCUACAUAGACUUAUACUGGCGAUGUCCUAACAGAAAAUUCUAAUAAUAUUUAUGUAGCAUAAUAUUCACACCAAAACCAUUUACAUUUUCAUUUUACAUUUAUUCGCUUUUAUCUGAAGUGACUUACAAAUGAGGAAAUACAAGCAAAGCAAUAUAUCGAGCGGAGAACAAUGCAAGUAGUGCUACUAUACAAGAUUUAUAAUUGAGUUCUAGAGAAGCAAAGUGUGCAGAGUAGAAGUGUAAGAGCCAGUGUAAUUUUUUAUUUAAUUAUUUAUUUAUUUAGAAAUAAAAUAAUGUGGGUUUGGCAUUUUAGAGGUUAGUUAAGUGCUCACGGAAGAGGUGGGUCCUUAGCAGUUUUUUGAAGAUGGUGAGAGAUUCUGUUGUCCGGAUUGAGGUUGGAAGUUCUUUCCACCACUGAGGGACGGUGAAUUUGAAGGUUCUGGAAAGAGACCUUCAA